rnacentral:rRNA from 1 species
ACAGGUGCAGGCCUGGUUAGUACUUGGAUGGGAGACCGCCUGGGAAUACCAGGUGCUGUAAGCCUUUU